GAGAUUUUUAUCUUGUGGGGAGAAAUAUAAUAAGGUGCUCGCUAUACAAAACCUCAACUCAACCAUCAGGCAAAAGACAUUUUGUGAAGCAGCCACUUGUAUCCUGUGGGAUGGACCCUGAGUUCAAAU
rnacentral:lncRNA from 1 species